GAGACCCCUAUGUUAGUUGCCAUCAUUCAGUUGGGCACUCUAGCGAGACUGCCGGUAAUAAACCGGAGGAAGGUGGGGAUGACGUCAAAUCAUCAUGCCCCUUAUGACCUGGGCUACACACGUGCUACAAUGGUUGGUACAACGAGUUGCGAGUCGGUGACGGCGAGCUAAUCUCUUAAAGCCAAUCUCAGUUCGGAUUGUAGGCUGCAACUCGCCUACAUGAAGUCGGAAUCGCUAGUAAUCGCGGAUCAGCACGCCGCGGUGAAUACGUUCCCGGGCCUU
rnacentral:rRNA from 1 species